CCCACUCGGCACAGAUGGGUGGUAAUGUUGCCAGCUACAUGGUGGAAAGGCUAUGGUUCGUUAGCGUCGUAUUAACGCCUUUAGCAGUUGUCAUGCCAAUCUGCUUCUACAAAUUCAUACUCUGCGUGGCUAAGAAUUCACCUUCUGUGGGGACUUCUUGCACGAGCACUGUCGUAGUCACGCUAGUGCACUUGGGCAUGCCCUUUGCAAAUUGUGCUAUUGGGGCAAGAUUAACAGAUUCUGGCGUACAGGAGUGCAAGGUCCUUCUCCUAGUCCUGCUACUGAGUGUGGAUUGACACAACGCACUUUUUUUUUUUUUUUAAAUCAAAUUUUCUGCCAUUCUGCCAGAUUGCUCCAGUCUUACUGCAAUCUCACACCUGUUAAGAAUCCCACUGGCUGGUCUAGCCAGCUCAUAUUGGAUGAAAAAAACUAGAUCACCUUUACCCAUUUUUGCUCUUUCAGAGUUAAGUGUCUGCAUAUAGAAAAUAAGCUUUCUAGGGCAUGGAGAACCUCUCGUGUUUCAACUGGUUUGUGCCCAGCACAAAAUUGUGGCUGGAACCUAGAUGUUAAUGCCAUCUUAAAUAAUAAUAUUUUUUCAGGUGCUGGCCAGAGUUUUAAGAGAUAGUUCCAGCAAUGAGCGUAUUGGAGUAGCCAAGGCACAGCUGCUUGAAACAGCAACAUGCAGCAGUUAUAUUAUAUGCAAUGAAAAAAGACCUCCUUCAAGAAAGCUAUUGAAGACAGCUGCAGAUCAGUCCUCCUCAGGCUUCAUUAGCUUUUUUCAUCUUCUGUAAGCCAACCCUGGGCAUGACUUUAGAAGAUGAUUAAACCAAAGAUUUGUGUGUCAUUACACCCUCUCCAACUCCAGCUGCAACUUGUUAUCCAUGAAAGCCCCAGGAUUCAUGGUCCAGGAUAGAAGCCUUCCUACCUCUACCAUUUCCUUGGCAUACUGGUUACAAUCACUUCUCCCACCAUCACCUAUUUCUCAACUGUCUUUUGUUAAAGAUCCUCAAUCCUUGCUGGAACUGUAUAAACAGAAGCAUGGAUCACCAGCCACCUAAAAUCACUUGUGAGCCCUGGGCUAUGGCAGAUGAAAGGCCUUUCGAUAUUCUCCCCAGCAGGUCUUCCACAGAGAUGUAAUGACUUUUGUGCCCAAGUUUACUUUACUUUUAUGCUGUAGGGAUGCUCUAAAUGGUCCUAUGUACAGGGCAUAUAUAUUUAUAUGUAAUCAUGCCCAUACAGAUGGUGAAAUGCCAGCUAUGAAUCAACAGAAUUCAUAAAGCUCUGCCAGAGGUACUCAUAGCUGCGAGUUGCACACAUGGGUGCCUUAAGCACUAAAAAAGGCCCUGCUUUCUUCACACCUGACCUGAAAUACAGGCCCAUAGCCCCUACACCUACAGAACUGACAAGCCAGCGCACGACAGCCCGUGCGCAGUGAAUUUUAAAUGCAGACACAUGACCUCAGAUUCCACUCAUAAAGGGUGAUCUGUACUGAAAUGUUUGAGACUUACAAGUGCAAACACAGCAGCGGUACUACAGGGCUUAUGUGAAAAAAUAAUUAUUCCAUGUAGAAAGGAAGUUGGCUUGCUCCGAGCAGAGGUGUUAAGAGACUACCCCAACACCAGCCCGCUUACCUGAAAAUAGGAAAACGUCGAGUGACGCAGCGCUGUGUUUAUUUGAGAUGGGUAUCAUAUCCCACACAUGUUAAAUGUCUUGCUGUGUUUUGGACUGAGGUGGUAGUUAAUCUGAAUGCCAGUUCUAAGAGUCAUUUACUAAAAAAUAAGCCUUGGACAACUGUGCUGCAAUUUUAGUAAUUUGGGGGCAGAGAGGCAUGCAGAUCGUAAUAUACAAAUAGGGCUGAAUUUAAAAGAGCAGCUUCAGAAUAGACAUUUUUCCCCCUUCCACUGGAUUCAGGAUAGUAAAUAAAAGCUGUGCCUUGAAUGACAGUAACAAGACAGGGACUUGGCACAGACUUGCUUCACCACAGAGAUCCACCAGAGCAAGGAUGAAAGUAGCAGCAACCAGAGCAGGUAAAAGGUGGAAGGAUUACAAAGAUCUAUAGUAGAAAAGGUAUUUGGGUCCCUCUCAAAGGCAGCAUAACUUUUUUUCCUAAACAAGGUUUCUUCUUCUCCUCCUCCUGUCUCCGAUAUGUUUCAGUUGCAAUCAGGGGUAAUUCCCUAGCAGUGGCAAAAGUGAGAAUGCUUGGGCUGACAUGGCAUUAGCAAAUUAAGCACUGGGCCCUCAGCUGUUCUGGCUGCACCUGAGUAACAUCCCCCUAGCCUCCUGUCUUCCUCCAUCAGCACACAUGUAGUAAGUCCCUAACCCCAUCAAAAUGAGUCAGGCCUGAAAAUAGGGAAGACAAAAACCUAUAGAAAGUGUUUAAACUAAGCCAGACCCUACUGAGAACAAAGCAGUUGCGCAGUGAUGCCUGCAGGCUGGGUGGGAUCCCAGUGACACUGAGGGUGUAGGAAAACCUCCCCACCUGCUUUCCCUCCAGCCAAAACUGCAAUAGGCAUAAACCAGAAAACACCUCACCAACAGCCAUACAAAUGUUAGGGUCUAGGAGUGAACCUCUGUUGAUGCAAAGUAGGCAGCAGUGACCAAGGGCACGUGUUCUCCUACCAAACCCCUCAUACCUCAAGGAGAAGCAGGACUGGCGUUGAUGUGCAAGGCAUAAAAGUCUCUAUCUCCUACCUUGCAUUUUAAGUACGUAGCUACUCCUGCUUGGUUCUGAAGUUCUUUUGGCUAAACUUUGCAUAGGCAUAGGAAAGGAUAAGCUUUGUUAUCUCACAUUGGAUACACCCUCCCUCACAUUUUAUUUCCAACGUAAAGGGGUUUAGAAGAGGGGCAGUGUCUAAGGUCAGACAUUUGUCUCCUAAAGUAGGAAAGCAGUCACAAAGCUGCUAGGACACUCAGCAGAAGAUGCUGCUAAGCUGUGAGGCAGGGGCUCCCUGGACAUCCACACCUCGGUGGAAGUCCUUCCAUAACUGCUUCCCUCGGGACUCUGGGUCCCUUGUUUUAGCAUCUCUGCAAUAACCCAGUGACAUGAGAUCUAGAAGAGAAAAGGAAAAAAAAUGGCACUUGCAUCACGUUCUAUCUAUGUAACUCUUACAUCUGUUUCCAUGAAUUGACCCAUCUACUUUGCUGCCAGAACUGAAACUGUCUGCACUUGAGGCUAGAAACAAACACACAUGUAUUUAUUUACAUUGUGAUAGUCUCCAAAAGCUCCAUCCAGUGCUGUGGUUAAAGCAAACAACCAAUCAGCAAGGCAAGUCCAGAGUUCAAGCGGCAGCAAUCAAUGCGCUGAACUCCUACGCUGGCAAACUUCGGCGUGCAGGUACCCACCAGAGAAGCACUCACCAGACUCCAGCACCACUGCAAGGUGACCUACCCACGAAGCGGUCUGCAAACUUUUAACAGCAGAGGACAGCACGUAGCUCCACCAGGAUUGCCCACCACAGGGAACUUUGGGGCUGUCACUGUUGACUGAGACGUACUUGUGUCCCCUUGCGACGCAAUUACUCUGAGCAGGCACAAAAAAGGGUUUGUUAUUUGUCGCUCUUGCCAGCACUGCCUCUGGCAAAACUUACUGCAAUAAUCAGCCUACACAGCUUACCCUGCUCCGUAAAGCGCAUCCCUACGUCUGUCUGAGUCGCCUUUUCUUCCUAGUUGUGUGAUACAGCUUCUGAAAACGCAUCACUUCAGGACAGAAUAAAAACCAAAGAGCAAGGCUGGCUCUAGCACAGACAAGAGAGGACUGCCCCUCCUUGUCUCCACAUCAUCACACUUGGCUGUAAAAGGUGAUGGUCAAAACAAGCAAGAGCUGUCAAGAGUUAGUUUUUCCAUGGGGUUUACCUAGUGGGAAUCUUUAAGAAAAUAAAUCCAGGCUUCAGGUGAGGAUGCCAAAGUGUGUCAGUGAUGUUAGGCAGGGGUCACUGAAGUGCCCUUUCCACACCUAAAAGAAUUUAAGUUUGCAUUUGUAUUGGAGGAGGGAGAAGGUAGGAAAUUCACAGCUUAAAAUAGACAUUAUUCCCAAAUUUUGGGGCCAGGAGACAUCUACCAGCUGAAUACAAAAGAACUCUCCCCUUCCCUACUCAACCAAAAGAGACAUUCCAGGAAAAGUGGGUACCUCCAGGUGUUCUCCUGAACCACCUGCAAAUAUCCCAGCAUAUUUAGGCUGAGCUUAACCAGGUAACUGGCAGCAAGAAUCAUCCUGCUCUUGCAAGCAAUUCAUUGUGUGGCCUUAAAUAAAUCACUUGCACAUGAUCAGCACUAAAGAAGAAGAAAGUUUUCUGACCCUUUUCUUUUAAUGUAUAGAGGCAUUAUAUGAAAACAGGCAGAGGUAUUGGCUGUCAGCCAGGGAGAAAAAAAAAAAAAAAAAAAGAAAAAAAAGUUGACGUUUCUUUAUUUCUAGGAAAUCUUAACUUUUUUAUUUUCGUAAAGAGAUUUUUAAAUGGGAUCGCUGUACCACAAAAGACCGCUGCAAGUGAGAAAGGGGAAUUGUCAGUUGGAUGUGGUGAUGGAUAUUAGGGUGUUAUUCCAAAAUAACACAAAUGUCUGAGAAAAUACUUGAAGAAAAUCUUUCAUUAGAGAAAAUUAGGGAUUGUCAUAGCUUAGAGAAAGAAGAGAAACAGCCAUCAAAGAGCUUGACCAGAAAAUGUAAUGUUCUCCCUGGCCUUUGAAGGUCACCUUUAUUUUUGGUGAGAUUCUCCCUCUGCAGAAGAGGUGAGCAAACAAAAAUGCAUCACAUUCAUCUGCUGAUCUUCUGUACAGAGCUAAGUUUCCCGUGAGGUUCCCUGGUUUUUCCUUUCACUUACCAGCUGUUGAUGCUUCUCUGCAUGUCCAGAAACCAACUGAUUUUAUCAGUAAAAUGGGUACACGUCUAUAACCUGAUCUAAUUAGUAAAAGAUGACUCUACCUGUAGAUCUGCUUUUAGGAACUGCUGUCUGAACUAGGCAGCACCAAGGAUGGAUUAAAAAACCCUGGGUGAAGUGCAAGGCACAGCUGGAUCAGAAAAUGAAACUGGAUUUUCUGGGGCCCCUUUCCUGACACCCCCAGCACUGUGCUCAUGCCCUACAGACACACCGAGCUGCAGGACAAAGCACAGUUGGCAGCUAAUUUGGAUUUGGCCAUUUCACACUUGCAAGCCAGGGAUUCAAAGCCAAAAUACCCGGACCCCCCUCCUACUUUCCAACACAGAAACAAUUUAAAACAGAUCUAACACCUAUGUAGUACUGAUUCGGUUAUCUUCAAAAUCCCAUUGUUCUGUUUAAAGAGCAUAUCCUCCUAGAAUAGCCUCCUUUUGAUAAACAACUCCUUCUGCAUGUCAGCCAAACAGCAGUUUUGGGCUUUAUCACAAGUGGACCAGCAGCAGAAACAGUGUGUGGUGAAGCGGGGGAGGAGGGGGUUUUAGCUGAAAAUAGAGUUCAUUGUCAGCUGGACUUUAGACUCAGGUUUUUAAAUAGGUUUUGGAAUGUGGAUAUGAAGCAGUUAAAAGAACCCUACCUCCAGCCCUUAAAGGAAGAAACCUCUUAUUCACAUGCUGAAAAGUAUAUUAGGACCUCAGGUAAUGGGGUUGUCUGCAUAUUGUACACAAAAGUUUCUUGUAUAAGAAGGUCAAAAUAUACAGGAAACAAAAUACUAAUUUCUCAGGAAGCAAACAAACAAAAAACCCCUUUCUUAAAUAGAAAUACACAACUCCAAAGAACCCAGUUUAAAAAAAAAAGUUUCAAAAAAGGGAUGAUGAAAUUUAAAUGCUUAUUGAAAAAAACAUAGUAAGUUAUACAAUUUUUAAGAGUUGCGUAGGCCAGAGAUUUCUGUGCCUUCUACACGAUUUGUAGGAAAUGAAUAGAGGUGCUACAAAUGUUUGACAUUUUUUUACACUCCAGAUAGGUAUUUGGGGGAACAUGACCAUUUCUGAAGUGCUUACUUUAUGAAAAACAUUAACUCUUUUCAGUAAAAUAUCAUUGGCAUGAAUUUAUAAUGACACUACAGUUUGAUUGCAUAUUUUACUUCCGAUAUCCACUCACCAUGGCUGAAAAUGGUUUUACUUCUUCAAUUCUCAGGAUUAGUGGGUAUGUGAAUGUGACACAUGCCCUCUAAAAUAUGUCACAAGAAAACUUUGUGUGUUGCUUAAGAGCAAGCUAUCCUAGGAAAGCUGAUCCUUGAAAAGCUGAUACAACUGAUUCUAGUAACCAUCAGCACAUGUGUGAAAUAGUAAAAUGGAAAAAAAUACACACCCAAAGACAAAAAUAAUGACCAAAGGAAAACACAGGCUAAAUACCAUUUAUAGUCUACCUUCUAGAAACCAUGCAACUCCUGCAAUAUCCAUGCCUUUUGCUAGCAACUGCAUAAAAAGUUCCUGUAGUUAGAGAGGAGGCAGUAUUCCUACCCGUAGUCUUAUGUUAAAAAAUACUCUUAGGUCAACAAGCCGCCAGGGGAACCACAUCACUUUGUUCUAAAAUGUUUGCUGAAAAGCCAUAAGUGGCCUAAACAACAUAAACUUCAACAUCUUCAGCAGUGCUAUCUCCUGUCAGGGCUAACUGACAGAACACCCAGGCCAUGGCGUGACCCCGGCUUGCACAAACAGGCUAGACCUCGGAUAAGACGGUUGAAUUCGGAAAACACUGGCGGCCGGUGCUGCCUGGUUUCUAGGCUUCCCACAGAUAGAGCAUCUGGGCAGCGUUAACUGUGGCAUCCUGUAAACACCGGCUGGAUGAUAACGGAGUAUAGCGCAGGCAGCAAAGUGACUGUGUAAGACUGUUUUCUGUGGUAAUCAGAUGGCACAGCCAAAUGUUGUGCCUGUGGAAAUGAGCUCUGGAAGUAGUUAAAGAAGUGUUUACAGCACAGUCUGCAACAGAUAAGGGGACAAGAUGCUCUUCAAAAGUCAGGAAAAUCUAUCUGAGCAUAAGGUUUUUUUCUCCUGUUCAACACCAGGAGCCACAGACACCCCAAACGCAACUUCAGACGGGAAAUCGGACUGGCUUUUCGGCAGAUUGCCAGUGUUAGGGGCUAGCACCACUGGGCAAAGUCUUGGUCCACUAAUGUCACAUGGCAAAGCUCCCCACUGGUCAAAGAGGUGACAGAGGUUCUCAAAAAAUCUUACAUACAAGGCAAUAAACUUCUCAGGUCUUGUCUUGGUUAUUUACAUAGGCCAACCAGCCUAUAUGCGCAUACAUGUGUGCAAAUCAUCAAAUGAGAUGGGAAAAACAUGAAUAUAAUUGUUGUGCAAUUGACAGGAAGGAAGUAAGGUUGAUUUCUUUUUACUAAUGAGUUUUUUCUGUAUCUUGGUGGCAAAUGUAAAAGAUUGCCUCAGUUGUAUUUUCUAAAGAAAUACAAGUUCGUUCUACUCAUUCAAGGCUCCAUACUGAGAAACGAGCAGCAGCAAGGAUUCACAAUUGCUGAACUGAUCUUCCUCCCAUUUAUAAUCAUCUAACUUCCUCGUAAAAGCUACAGGAAUCUGCUGCUGCUGCAGAACAACAACUGCUUUAAAUCGGCUGUGGCUAGCCUUCGCUGCAGUUCGGCGGUUAAAUGGGGGAGGAUGACUCCUUCAUACCAGCCGUCUCCAGAAGCUCUACCUGGACUGUUGACGAGCACACACACAACGUGAGACCCCAGCCUGUGCAGCUCACUGACAUCUCAUGAGUUAUAAAAAAGAUGCAUCAAAGGAAAAUAAGUAACUCUUAUAAAUGCAACAAUAGUUUAUGCUUCUAAAACCCUAGAAAUCUGCUUAUUAAAGCAAGGACACUUGGCAUUUUAUGUUCAUCUCAGAUUCAAUUGCAAGAAAAGAGAUACAAAGGAUCUGAUCUUACUGAGAUUGUUUUCAUGACUUUGGGGUUUGGGCAGGGGUUUUUGUUUGGGUGCUGGGUAGGGUUUUUUUCGAAACUGAAAUAACCUACAUUCACAUAAAGCAUAUGGUUGUUCUCCAUGUAAAGACAGAUAAAUGCUUUCCAUCUUUUAAAGUCAGCUACAACUGAAAGGAGCUUAGAGACCAAAAAAGGAAAAACAGCAAUAGGUUUCUUUUUAAAGAAAAAUGAUAGAUUUACCUAGUAAAGGGAAGAUUUAAAUAUAAGGACUUUGAGCAGCAUUGCUGGAAAAAAAACAAAAAACAGUCCAUUCAUUCAUGCUAUCAUGCUGCAGACAGAAAAACAUGCAUGUAGCAAGUAUGUCCAGCUAUGUCAUUGAGGAAAACUAAUACUGUGUUAUGGAAUUAAAGAGAGAUGAAAAUUAGCUGCAAACUAAAGGUGGGGUGGAACAGAGUCCCAUUUUGGACCUAGGGCUCUGACAGCACGCUUUAAAUAUUCAGAAUACAGGUUCAGGAUCAUCAGGAUUGCUGUGAAGGGAAUCUAGGUUCAAUUAAAUGACACCGAACUUUAAGGAAAUCAAAUCAUACUGCAGAAAUGUAGAGGCCCAUCAGAUAGCAGAGGGGGUGUUACAGCAAAGAGAGUCCCCUGUUCUCAAUGCUCCUUGGUGCAGCUUCUACAAAAUAAACAUUUUUCUCCCACUUUCCCUUACUUUUCUUUUUAACAAAUUUGCAAACGCUUAUGAAAAGAAAACAGAGACGAGAUUGCAUCUGGUUUGUCUAUGGCGCCAUUUGUUGCUAUAGGGAGACUGCUUGGAAAAGGUGAUGAGUGGUAAGUUGGCGAAUGAUAUUAAUAGAGAAACAAUAGAAAAAUUGCUCUCAGCGCUGUGCUUAACCCUUUAGCAUUCUCAUUUUGGUUUCUCCCUCUUCUUCAGGAGGCCCAAGCAGAGGAUAAUGAUUGCAUCUCCCUGCACAAGCUGCUAGUUGUUUUCCCCUCCAAAACAUUAGCAUUUUUCUCCUUUUCACUUCCAUCAGCACUGUGUAUGUAAAAACAUUUUUGGAAGCAGGGGGGAAGCAGCCCUCUGAAAUGUUC